rnacentral:rRNA from 1 species
GACGAACGCUGGCGGCGUGCUUAACACAUGCAAGUCGAACGGGCUCUGUCUGGCUGUGUGCUGGGUGGGGUUAGUGGCGAACGGGUGAGUAAUACGUGAGUAACCUGCCCUCUUCUUUGGGAUAAGCCUUGGAAACGGGGUCUAAUACUGGAUAUUCCUGUCUGGUCGCAUGGCUGGGUGGGGAAAGUUUUUUCGGCGGGGGAUGGGCUCGCGGCCUAUCAGCUUGUUGGUGGGGUGAUGGCCUACCAAGGCGUCGACGGGUAGCCGGCCUGAGAGGGUGACCGGCCACACUGGGACUGAGAUACGGCCCAGACUCCUACGGGAGGCAGCAGUGGGGGAUAUUGCACAAUGGGCGCAAGCCUGAUGCAGCGACGCCGCGUGGGGGAUGACGGCUUUCGGGUUGUAAACCUCUUUCGUCGGGGGACAAGGCUCUGCUUGGUGGUGGGGUUGAGGGUACCCGGUGAAGAAGCGCCGGCUAACUACGUGCCAGCAGCCGCGGUAAUACGUAGGGCGCGAGCGUUGUCCGGAAUUAUUGGGCGUAAAGGGCUCGUAGGCGGCUUGUCGCGUCUGCUGUGAAAAUGCGGGGGCUUAACUCCGUACGUGCAGUGGGUACGGGCAGGCUAGAGUGCGGUAGGGGUGACUGGAAUUCCUGGUGUAGCGGGGAAAUGCGCAGAUAUCAGGACGAACAACCAUGGCGAAGGGGGUCACUGGGGCUGUUACUGACCUCAAGAGAAAAGCGUGGGGAGCAAACAGAUUAAAUACCUUGUUGUCCAAGGCCGAUUCCAGAGCGGAUACCA